rnacentral:misc_RNA from 1 species
GUUGCAUACACGAUACACCUGUCAUAGUAACUGACGUUUUUAUUGGAAUUCGGAAUUCGGACUUCAUCGCGUUUGUCCGUCGCGAAUGUAGUAGGCGGAGCUCAUUAUAAUUUUAUUUAGUUUUUAACGCUCUCGUUCCACUUUUCGAUGCUGUUCUUUUUUAUUUUUAUAUGCGAAAAAUUAAAAUUCCACCCGUACUGUGCUCUCUUUGUUAUGUGAUGUUGUGAAACAGUGGUUUGCGUGUUUGAUUUGUAGAAAUAUGAUGUCACUGUUAUUUUGUGCGAAUCCUUGACGAAACAUGAGUGUUAGUGUUGAAGCUGACGUAUCCAGCCCUCUGUCAGACGGGCAGAGCACAACCCUGGACCCCACGACUUCGAAGUCUUCGUCCGACAGUCCCGAUUCAAAGGAGGAUGUUGGGGUAGGUCAAGACGACAAGUCCGAGUCCGAGGCGCCCAAGCCGCAUCCAAUGGCUUUCACCAUCGAUUUUGGUGUAGGAAAGGUCGAUAACCGCAGGCUUGAAGAGUUGGCCAAGAAAUCACAAGCCAGGCACCAGAGAGUGCAGUCUAUGUCCGCGAGUGUGACUAGACCGACUCCGCCAGCCCAGCGACCGCCUAUGAGCGCCAAGCUGCCUAGAAAAGCUCAAGGGUACAACUCUGAAGGGUAUUUUUCAUCAGAUCAGGAAGAUAGUGGCCUAUCUGGUUCUAUAAAGGCACGUAAUUCUAUAGCACAAAAUUCUGCAAAUGUAACAAGUCCUGUAACAAAUAGGCACAUAAAGUCGCCUUUAAACGACGCUGUACAGCCCAAACGUGUGUCCAAAAGCCCCAUUGUAGACAGCAUAAUGUCUAGAAGCGAAAACUUCUCUCUAACCAGGCAUGGCUUGAACCUGCCAUUGAAAAAUAGUUCCUAUGUAAGAGAUGUUCAAAGAACACCAAGUUACAGCAAUUUGUUUCAAAGUAAGCCAAUGGCGGACAUUGCUGACCACAGUCCAGAAGGUGUGAUGUUGACUGACAUUUCCAGCCCUGAACUAGACAUCCUCACGCCUGAUAAUGGUCUCUCUACUCCAGAACAUUCUAAGAGUCCGUUAAUACGGAAGCCUAGAGCUACUUCAGAAACUCCAGAUCUGUUUCGGAAGUGUAUGAUGAAGGAACCAUUGUACAUAGAUGAUGAUAUCGACAGGCAUUCAGAUAACUCCUCAACAGGCACAUAUACUAUAGAAGGAGACAAUUAUACAGAAGAGCAGAAGGCCAGGAUGAGUAUAGACAGGAAAUUUGAAGCAGACUUAAUAAAUGAGGCGAUAGAAAGCUCUCUUAAAACUAAAAACGAAAAAGAUCCUGAACUAAUAUUUGAUUUCCAUCAAAGAGUGAUCACAAAAGAGCCGCGGAGAGAUACAGGCCUCCGAAGUCCAUUAACCAAACAGACAUUUGAGCUCCCCAAAGUGUCAAAAGACAAGAACGUUCUAGAGAUCUCAUGCUGCUACGAAUCUCCGACUGAAAACGAUUUAGCAGCGCAAACUUCCAAGCAAAUAAAAUCGACACGGAGCUAUCUAGAGAAAAUUAAGAAUAGAGUGAGGACUAUUACUGAGAAAACCUUUGCUAAGUCUCCUCCAAGGCACGAAGACGAGCCUGACUUCGGCAGCUUCACGUCAGUAACAACUUCAGGGGUUCUCAGCUCAAAAUGUCCUCCGAAAGUUGAGUUGCCUGUACGCAGAAGAUGUAGCCUGACUAAAUCUGAUAUAGAUCAGACAGACUACAUUCAUAGGUUGAGUAGAGAGUCUUCUGUGCCUGUUUCGUUACCAAGCAAUAAGCUAGGCUUAGAGGAUGCUAAGUUUGAGAGUACAGCACUCAAAAACGCCCAAAAAGCCCUUCAUGAGAAUGUGCCGAACAUGACGCCAGAUCAAAUGGUGGGGAAGCUGUCCUAUUUGAGCCUGAAUCGGUGCAAAGGGGAUAAGACCUGGAUCCAGGAUUGGGCUGAGAGCGUCAAGAAGUAUAAUAACAACACUCUGUCUGGUGUUGGGGAUGGUGGUGAUGAUAAACCUCCACCAAGUCCGAAGCAGAUCAUCGGUAAACCCCGCAGCCCGCACGGCGGGACGCCUACAAAGAUACCGAGUCCCGUCGGCACCUUACUACACAGGAGAACACCGGACCUCAUCCCACCGCAAGACACGGAGUCAUAUCUACUAAAAACGCAAAACGCUAUCACCAACCUGCAAGCCAAACUUCAGUCCUCGCGCACGAGCAAUUUCUCCAGCAUUCCAUCACAACUGACUUCCAGUCUGAUCAGCGAGAAGACCGCGGUCUCCCGGCUCCCGGUCUCACAGCUCAGCCGGUCCAACUCCCUCAACUACCGCCUCCGUAGGAAGGACAAUUCGUCGGACAACAGUCCGUUAAGGAGUCCAGGGCACUACGUCAUCACAGGGUCUUCCAAGCUGCCUGACAGUACAAAGAUUCUUCUAAACACUGCGUCAAGGUCUUUGGAUGCUGAGGGCAGGCACGAUUCUAACAUGAACAGUCCGUCAUCAGAUCGCGGGGUUUUGAGCCAUAGUUCUGAUGAUAAGACGUUGUCUAACAGGUAUGAUGUGGAGGCGAUUCUCUCGCCGCAUAGGAAACACGCGCGGCACAAAGUAGACACAAAAGAUUUGGACAACGCGAACCAAGUGUGCCUCAAAACUGUGCUUAAGAACAACGCUAUGGAGGUGAAAUACCCUCGUAUUGAUCCAACGCGUUGCCAAGGCGACAAGAAGUUGAGAAACGAGAAACCCAAAAGCAACUCGAUCAAGCGCUCCAGUUCCUUCAACACUGUGAAUAAGAACAAUAAUUAUUUGGACCCUAGGAUCAACUCGCGGCGGUCAAGCGGCCAGUCUGAAGAGUACAAUUUCUCCGAUGAAUCGGACAAUGGCUCUUACGAUAAAGAUUGUAGAUAUAAACGGCAGUUGCACAGAGGCCGGAUAGAUUCUCCAGAUUUGAAGUCGAUAGCUCCGGCGAAUUCUCCGAGAUGCCCCAAUACUCCAGAAAUGCACAGAAAGUUCGGGCCAGGGUUGGUGAGGAAUUCUGUGAGGGUAACGAAUAAGGAGAGAGGGAAUCUGACUAGGCUGGAGACGCCGGUGAGGGAAGAGAGGAAGGUCAGUCAUCAGAGCAGGAGGAUAUCGGAGCCGACCAGGCAGGCGGUGUUGAGCAGGUUGACAAAAUCCAGAUCUUCGACUAGAGAGAUACAGCCUAAGAAUCUGGAUAAAGGUCAAAAGAAACCCAGCCAGCACCGAUCGUCAUCAGCACUCGCGUCGAAGGAGAUAGAGUUCUCCAACUGGAAGAAGCGCUCCUCUUACGACCCCAUGAAGGCUGCGCAGGAAGGAAGGAGGCGGCAACAACUCGCCAAGCACAAACAAGACUGCAACAAAGAUGAUCUUAGCUCACCUAGCCACUCGUCCCCCGUCCACCGUUCGCAAUCCUUCCACGUCACCAACAUAGCUGAUCUGGCCACGCUCGAUUAUUCUUCGGAAGAGACGGAAGAUGACCAGCUGUUGACGCUUCCGGUCGAUCCGAUGAUCACGUCUACGCACUCGGACAUUUUGGACCUUAGGCCGAAGGACUAUAGAGAGAAUCUUCGACGGCAGGCGGUUACGAAUGAUGUGGCGCUGGCAAGGGAUUAUGUCACUAAUUUCCAGGUAAACCAGCCAGAGAAAAAACGCCGCGAUGCGGACAAACGCAAGACGUUCAUAAUGGACGACGUCACACCAACCAAAGAGAAUAUAAACUUCCUGUCAAAAGUCAGAGAUGACGUGGCCGUAGACAAGCGGAAAACGUUUAUAUUAGACAGCGAUACAAACUCGACGACGAACGGAAGCAGCCCAAGGAACUCGUCCAUAUUCAGCCAUGAAAAAGUAAUUAUUGAACAAAACUCGCUGACGACCGGCACGAGCGACACGGAGGGUGAGAGCGGCACCGAGAGCGCGCCCGUGGUGAUGCGGCACCCCGCCGGCAAGCGGAGCGCCGCGCCGCCGAAGCAGAGAUACAGUGGUGACUAUUCCAUGUCGUCGUCGACGACGUCCAUAACGCAAAAGAAGCAGCUCGUACAGCCAAGAUAUCUCGACAUAUCCAAGUACAAGAACGAGAGCUCGCCGAAGAACUUCCUGCGGCGGGACCCGAGCAAGACUUACGUCGGAGUGCUCGGCGACAAGGUUAGCAAGGGAAGCGCACAGCAUUAUGAAAUGGAACAAAAGAAGCAAGAGUUAGAGAAGUGGAAACGAAGAGCAUCGUACGACCCGAGGAAGGCGGCGGCGCUCGGCAAGACUGGCAAGACCGCGCCAAAGACUGCCAGAGCGUGACAGAUGUCAAAAUGCAUGCAAUUCCGCGUAAAGUGACAUGCGGGCCGCCAUCUUGUGCUGUCAGUAGCGUACUCCGUUCGCAAUCGUUCCACGGGCCCAUGCUGACGUCAUCGAGCCUUCGCUACCGGCCCACGGCGGACUUCGUCACGGAGACCUACGACCCAUCCAGCGAUAACGAUUUCUGAACGAAGCGAUUUCGUCACAAUUGAUCGAUCGAUUAUACGGCAUCGAUAUCAAAUCGAUUUCAGUACACUCAGUAGAAAAACAAUCACAUCAAAUAGAUUUUCUUGUGCCGUC